rnacentral:rRNA from 1 species
CGCCAGCCUGACGGAGCCAGACCGCGUGGGGGAGGAAGGCCCUUGGGUUGUAAACCCCUUUUCUCAGGGAAGAAACCUGACGGUACCUGAGGAAAAAGCCUCGGCUAACUCCGUGCCAGCAGCCGCGGUAAUACGGAGGAGGCAAGCGUUAUCCGGAAUUACUGGGCGUAAAGCGUCCGUAGGGGGCUCGUCAAGUCUGCUGUCAAAGCUCGGAGCUCAACUCCGACCCGGCAGUGGAAACUGGGGAGCUAGAGGGCGGCAGGGGCAGAAGGAAUUCCCGGUGUAGCGGUGAAAUGCGUAGAGAUUGGGAAGAACACCGGUGGCGAAAGCGCUCUACCGGGCCGCAACUGACACUCAGGGACGAAAGCUAGGGGAGCG